rnacentral:tRNA from 1 species
CUUGAUGCUCCGAGUGGUUAAGGGGCGGGACUUGAAUAAUCCCGUGUCGAAAGACGCGCAGGUUCGAACCCUGCUCAAGUCG